rnacentral:siRNA from 1 species
UUAAGUAACGUCCUGUCAAACC